rnacentral:rRNA from 1 species
UGUGGUGGUGGUGGUGGUGGACUGGUGGUGGUGGCCGAUCAUGUGUACAAGGCCGUGAAGACAAACUUCAGUAUUUCUGCAUGGAUAAUUGUAUCAAGUAGCUACCAAGUUGAAGACUUGCUAAAACAGAUCGCAAGUGAACUCGGUGUCGCAAUUGGCGUGACCAACACAAACAGGAACCUGGUUGAGGUAAUCCAUAACCAACUGCAAGGUUCAAAGUAUCUCAUAGUUCUGGAUGAUGUUUGGCAUGCAGAUCUCUGGUUUAAGAUAAGGAACGCAUUCCCUACAGAAAGCACUGGCCGAUUUGUUAUCACCACUAGAAUUCAGGAGGUUGCAUUGCUGGCAACUGAAAACUGUACAAUUGAAUUGGCACCAUUACAAAGGGAGUAUGCAUGGCAGCUAUUUUGCAAUGAAGCCUUUUGGAAAAAUGAGAACAAAACAUGUCCGGAGGAACUAGAAAAUUUAGCUCAAAUGUUUCUGGGCAAGUGUGGUGGCUUGCCCAUUGCUAUUGCUUGUGUAGGCCGCUUGUUGUCAUGCAGGCAUCCAACUUACUCUCAGUGGGAAAGUUUAUACAAAGAGCUAGAGUUACAGCUCAGCAAUAAUAUGAUCCUCGAUGUUAAUAUUGUUCUGAAACUCAGCUUAGAGGACCUUCCAACUGAUCUGAAGAAUUGUUUUCUGCACUGCACAAUAUUUCCAGAGGGUCGUCUAUUCGGAAGGAAAAGGUUAAUCAGGCAUUGGAUCGCAGCUGGAUACAUUAAAGAAGCAGGGAGCAAAACAUUGGAGGAAGUGGCAGCGGGCUACCUGAACGAACUUGUAAACAGAAGCCUACUGCAGGUGGUCCAGCGGAAUCCGUGUGGCCGAGUUCGCAGGUGCCGAAUGCAUGACAUUAUCCGUGUUCUUGCUCUCGCUAAAUCAGAAGAGGAAUGCUUC